GUCCAUAGCCUUACCACAUAGAACAUACCUGGUCUCUUCUGAUGUUGAAAAUUUAACAGUGUUGGGCCUGGUUAGUAAUUAGGUGGGAGAAUGCUAGACAUGCACUCUACCAACU
rnacentral:rRNA from 1 species